CUGGGGGUGGAGCCUGGAGAACCGCUGCGGGGAAGCGGAGGGGACGAAGGGAGAGCGACCAAUCGGAGACAAGUCCCAGCCUCUAUUAGCCCGCCUCCUCUAACUGUCGCGAAUCCGCGGGCAGCUUUACGACAGCCAGGGGGUGGGGGCAUCUGUGUGAGGAGAAGGAAGCAACCAACCAACCAAGUCGCCCCCACCCCCUACCCCAACCCCCACCCACCGCGGAUCUGGUUUACGGCUUGGAGCGCAGGCUCCAGUGCGGCAGCUGAUUGGCUGUCGAAGGCUUGGUCCCAUCCCAGUGACCCCAAAGUGCUGGAAGGAGGGGGCGGGGGUGGCCCAGUGCAAAGUGCAUCCCGAAAGCCCCCUGUCGGGACACCCUGCUGCUGACACUUCGGACCUGGUAUGACUUAGGGUCUCUCUGUCCCCAGACCUCUUGAGUCCCUCGGUAGCUGAAAGCCUCCGGCCCGGCGCGCGGCAGACCCUUGGUCUGAGCCCCUGGACCGGGACUGCCCCCCCCCCCCCCCACCCAGCCGGCACUUCCUCCCAGCGCCCCUUCCCGGAGGCUGCUCCGAGGCCAAGACCGCCACCCCCAGCCUGAUCGACUAUCUGGAUGCUCUCUGGGUUGGGGCCGUGAAGCACCCAGGAGGAUCAGGAACACGGUGUCCGGCCCUGCCUGGGGUGUUUCUUCAAUGGAGAAGUUGGUGAAUGUGCAGGAGGCUGAAAGGAGAGAGAGGAGCUGCAACUGAGGACACAGGUUUGAGCUUGCUGGAGGACACUCGCGAGUAGAAGGGGUCUGGCCACCCACCAGAGGAGCAAUAAACAGAGUGCUUUGGACCAGCAUCCUCUUGAAAGGUGAAGAAGGCCGGCGCACACUGGGAGCCCUUCCCGCCAUGCUGCAUGCACGCCAUGGUUAUUAGACAAGCUGUCUACCGAGAGAAGAGACAUUCUUCUGUAAGGCUGCCUCCCGUGACCUAAUGUCUGGUUGGUGAAAAGCAGACUCCACUAGGAUGUUACACCACCACUGCCGGAGGAACCCUGAGCUUCAGGAAGAGUUGCAGAUUCAGGCUGCAGUGGCAGCCGGGGAUGUUCACACAGUACGAAAGAUGUUGGAACAAGGCUAUUCCCCAAAUGGCCGAGAUGCCAAUGGCUGGACCUUGCUCCAUUUCUCUGCAGCAAGAGGAAAGGAGAGGUGUGUUCGAGUGUUUCUGGAACACGGAGCUGAUCCCACGGUUAAGGAUUUAAUCGGAGGCUUCACUGCUCUGCAUUACGCUGCCAUGCACGGCCGGGCCCGGAUUGCACGCCUGAUGUUAGAGUCUGAGUACAGGAGUGACAUUAUUAAUGCAAAAAGCAAUGAUGGCUGGACUCCCCUCCAUGUGGCUGCCCACUACGGUAGGGACUCAUUUGUCCGGCUCCUCCUGGAGUUCAAGGCUGAAGUUGACCCGCUCAGUGAUAAAGGUACAACGCCACUUCAGCUUGCCAUCAUCCGAGAGCGGUCAAGCUGUGUGAAGAUCCUUCUGGACCACAACGCCAACAUCGACAUCCAGAACGGAUUCCUGCUGCGCUAUGCUGUGAUCAAAAGCAAUCACUCUUACUGCCGCAUGUUUCUUCAGAGAGGAGCAGACACAAACUUAGGGCGUCUAGAAGACGGACAGACUCCUUUGCACUUGUCUGCCCUCCGUGAUGACGUGCUCUGCGCACGGAUGCUGUAUAACUAUGGAGCGGACACGAACACAAGGAACUAUGAAGGUCAGACUCCACUGGCCGUUUCCAUAAGUAUUUCAGGAAGUAGUCGGCCGUGUUUGGAUUUCUUACAAGACGUCACAAAUUCUGUGCCACCGUUGGGACUGGGGAGACGGCUGAGCUGGUAGUGUUUGCCAAGCAAGCAUGGAGACAUCAGUUUGGAUAAGCAGCACCCAGAUAACAUGCUGGCCAUGGUAGCAUGCUUUUGUAACCCCAGCAGCAGGCGAGUGAAGACAGGAGGAUCCCUGGGGCUUCCGGGCCAGCUCCCAGCCAGUCGCUGACCUCCAGCUUUAGUGAGAGACCCUGCCUCAAAAAAUAAGGACAGCCCAGAACCCUGCAGGACCUGUGCCGAAUUAAAAUUCGACAGUGUAUAGGCCUUCAAAACCUGAAGCUGCUUGAUGAGCUACCAAUUGCCAAGGUCAUGAAAGACUACUUAAAACACAAAUUUGAUGAUAUCUGAUACACCUGGACUGUGGACAAGAUUACGAGUUAUUCCAGAUACUUAAAAGGCUUCAGGCCUUGCACAAAGUAUAUCCUAUGCAAUUUCUGAUUUGCGGUCAAGUCAGAAAGCAGGUAUACACUUUUAGGUUUAUGUUUGUUUGGAUUUCAUUUGGGGGAGGGAUCUGUGUGUGUGUGUGUGUGUGUGUGUGUGUGUGUGUGUGUGUCUACACUCACACAUACACACCCCACGCUUGAAGGUCUUAAUUUGGUUUCUUGGUCCAAGUCGAUGAGGUCCAAGCCUUUCUAUACAAUACUGCAUUUAGAAAAUUUGUUUUUCCUAAGUGCACAAUAUAGACAGGUUUGAAGCAGAGAAUUUUCCCUUUUGAUGCUCUGGUUUCAUUGGUGAACACGGUACUAGGAACCAGUAGACGGAAUACUUCUUAAAGUUUGGAGGUCUCAGGCUCACCUCCUGUGAUCCUGGGUGAUGCUGGAAAAUUCUCUGUGAAGAAACUUACAGUAAUGCUGUCGCCUCAUUCAUUUUUAAUGAGUACAGAUGAGCUGUUUAAAAAUCCUUUUUCCCUUCUAAUUAAUGUAGCUUUCCGAUGAAAAAAACCAACCCAGGACCUCGGCUUCCUUUGGUGUGCGCUUUUUUUUUAAAUUAUUUUUUUUAACAACUGUAAGACACUACCCUGAAACAUUGUGUUUCAACUCCCCCACCCCCUCUCUUAUUGAAUUGUGCUUUUAAAACAAAAUCAAUGGGGAAAGGAAUUAACUUUUUAAAGCCAGUGUAUUCUGUUUUUUAAAAAACAAAACAAAAACAAAAAAUGGUGCCUCUUGUGCAACUCUCUUGGUGUCGUCUCUGGAUGGUUUGCUCUUCCUGUUCUUCAGUUGGCUUCCUUGUGCCCCUUGGAGCCAUCAUCACCACCUCCAUCCCACAGCAGGCCACCAGGAUCACCUCAGUUUCCACCUUAAACUUUGUGUUUUAUUUCACCUUAAAGAACAAAUUUCAUAUUCUGGUGAUGACAGAGGUCCCUAGAAAUAGCCCACAUUCUUGCUAAACCAUUCUACUUUAAUGACUAAAUAUUUCAGGGUGGUUUCUUGGUGGAUUUUUUUGCCUUCCUGGUAAUAUGUAUACAUAUAUAUUUUAAGGGGAAAGUCUCUAAUGGGCACCCUUUUGUAAGCCUGGCAAAUUGCUGAUACGCUAAUUAAGUAUUUCCUGUCUAUUUUGAAGGUGAGUACAGUAAAGCUCUUCAAGACAAAUAUUUUAAUUUUCUGGGUUGGUUGGACAAGUAUGUGCAAGAAAGACCCGGAUGUAGUAAAGUGUUAGUAACAAGGGGGAGGGCCCAGAGGCCCUAGGCAUCAUGGGUGUUCCUGGGGACACACACUCACUGCUUCAUUUGACGUUAUGUUAGUUUGAAGACACCCCCUUUUAAGUUCCCCAUGCCAUUCUUAGUGCUGUGACAAAUUUUUUAAAUAUUUAUAAACUGUUAAUAAAUUUGCUAUCAAAAGGUUGCAGGAUAAGGGCUUCUCCUUUCUUGUCAGAAUUGCCAGUUUGAAGGCAUAGAGGGUAAAGUCUUCCCCUCCUAACAUAAUUAAGCAGAAUUAGGUUUCCCUGAGUUCAGGCUAGCAGUGUUGUUCACUCAAGCCCAAAGCUUGCCGUCUUGGCCAGAGUAGCUGUGACCGCAGAACAUUGGGUUUGCGUGUGCCUAGGUGGCACAGGGAUUCCUGAACAGGCAAAAGGAUGCUUCAGGGACUUGCUGAUGUGGCCCAUAGCCUCCUUCAGGGAGAGCAUGAGGCCAGAGUGAUAGCUGGGACCCAGGAAGAUAGGGAUGGCUGUGGUGACCCUGGCUGAAAGGUUACCUCCAUGGAGAGUCCCCUUCUAAGGCACCUGCAAAGCUGUGUUCUCAGUCUUUAUUCAGGCCCCAGGUCAGGGCUGGAGACACACUACCAGCCUUAGGGACACAAAGUGACCAGAAAUUAGUUGAGUGUAACUUGUGUUAGAGCCCCAGCCCAGCAUGGAAAGUGGUGGGAGGAGAGCUGAGAGUCUGGACUCUGAGCUGCCAUAUUAGUGUCCAGUUGCACAGGAAUCAUACAUGAAAAUUAAUUUAUUUUGUAAGUUAAAAGUGACAUUCACUUUCCAGCCAUUCAGAGGGUUCUGAACUAAGCCACUGAAAUCGAAUUGAAUCAGGGGAUCCCAAAUAAAAAGAUCAUAUUAAGGCAAAUUCUUUGUGCUGUUUACUGCUGUGACUUCAGAAAAAAAAACAAAAAACAAAAAAACAAAAACAAUUCUGAGUGCUCUUCCAGGAAUUGAAAAUUCUAUUUAAUGAAGAAGUGUAUAAUUCCAUUAUUUAUUGUUUGUGGUUUGAUUUAUCUGGAAGCUUGAGAGAAUGUCCUUUGUUUAUACUAGACCCCAGUCCUGUGCUGUAUUCUAUGGUAACGGAAGGGCUGUCCAGUUGCUGAUGUGGUUGUGGUGACCAUGCAGGUCUGCCCCUGAAUUUGUUAUCAGAGAAGCAGUCUGUGGCCCUAGGAGAGAAAACAGCCCCUCAUAACACAGCCCGUUGACUCAAAAUUCACACUGAGUCUUUUGCGCUUCUUUUGAAAUUUAUUAUUUAAGCCUAUUACUAAAACUUUAUAAAAUGCAUUUGGCGAAUACACCAAAGAAACCAGCUCAUAAAAUAUGAUCAUUAACGAACUGCAAACCUCAUCUUUUGAAAACAAGGGUGUUUCUUUGUAAAUAUUUGUGUUUAUAAAUGUACAGCAGAGUUAAGAGUGUUUUUUUAGAUUAUUUAAUUCCCAUAUUUCUAAACUAUUUACUACAGAAUAACCCCUGCUUAUUAGUUUGGGUGACUUGAUUGUUUGUUUUUUUUUUUUUUAAUUCAUUACCAGUCAUGCUUGGAGUGACGAUUCUGCUGGAGAGGUCAGCACUCUGGCAGUGGCUGGAGUCGCUUGUAAAGCAUGGGGGAGACUAGCAUGACCUGUCAGACUCCUCCCUCGUAAGACACCAGGAAAGCGUAGCUUAAUGGCCAGAGUGGACCAUGAGAAAGAGUUUCUAACUUCCCUACUGAAUCACCUGUUAGCCCAGGGUGGAAUUGGGACAAGGCUGUUUGCCCACAAAUUUAGCUUUCAUGUAACUCCCAGUGUGUUGUAUCAUAAUAUAUUCUGUUCUUUCUUUGUAACGUAAGUUUUGCUUUGGGUCGAUUUGAAUUAAAAAAAAAAAUCUUAAAUCUGGUUUAAAAAAAAUACUGAAUUUGUGUUUUCUUUCUCUUCUAUCUUAACUUUUUCACAACUCCAGGUGUUUGGUAAAGUGGAAUAAAGCUGUAUUUUUCAUCAGCA